GCUUUCCCUCCAGAGUGGAUCCUGAGUACGGCGGAACACGUGAAAUUCCGUCGGAAUCCGGGAGGACCAUCUCCCAAGGCUAAAUACUCCCUAGUGACCGAUAGUGAACCAGUACCGUGAGGGAAAGGUGAAAAGCACCCCGGAAGGGGAGUGAAACAGUUCCUGAAACCGUGUGCCUACAAGUAGUUAGAGCCCGUUAAUGGGUGAUAGCGUGCCUUUUGUAGAAUGAACCGGCGAGUUACGAUUUGUUGCAAGGUUAAGCGGAAAAAGCGGAGCCGUAGCGAAAGCGAGUCUGAAUAGGGCGCAUAAGUAACAGGUCGUAGACCCGAAACCAGGUGAUCUACCCAUGUCCAGGAUGAAGGUAAGGUAAUACUUACUGGAGGUCCGAACCCACGCACGUUGAAAAGUGCGGGGAUGAGGUGUGGGUAGCGGAGAAAUUCCAAUCGAACUUGGAGAUAGCUGGUUCUCUCCGAAAUAGCUUUAGGGCUAGCCUCGAGGUAAAGAGUCAUGGAGGUAGAGCACUGUUUGGACUAGGGGCCCUUCUCGGGUUACCGAAUUCAGAUAAACUCCGAAUGCCAUGUACUUAUACUCGGGAGUCAGACUGCGAGUGAUAAGAUCCGUAGUCGAAAGGGAAACAGCCCAGACCACCAGUUAAGGUCCCCAAAUAUAUGUUAAGUGGAAAAGGAUGUGGGGUUGCUUAGACAACCAGGAUGUUGGCUUAGAAGCAGCCACCAUUGAAAGAGUGCGUAAUAGCUCACUGGUCGAGUGACCCCGCGCCGAAAAUGUACCGGGGCUAAACAUAUUACCGAAACUGUGGAUGAACCUCUUUAGAGGUUCGUGGUAGGAGAGCGUUCUAAGGGCGGUGAAGUCAGACCGGAAGGACUGGUGGAGCGCUUAGAAGUGAGAAUGCCGGUAUGAGUAGCGAAAGAAGGGUGAGAAUCCCUUCCACCGAAUAUCUAAGGUUUCCUGAGGAAGGCUCGUCCGCUCAGGGUUAGUCGGGACCUAAGCCGAGGCCGAUAGGCGUAGGCGAUGGACAACAGGUAGAGAUUCCUGUACCAGUGCUAAUUGUUUAACCGAUGGGGUGACACAGAAGGAUAGGGAAUCGCACGAAUGGAAAUGUGCGUCCAAGCAGUGAGUGUGAGAAGUAGGCAAAUCCGCUUCUCGCGAAGCAUGAGCUGUGAUGGGGAAGGAAAUUAAGUACGGAAGUUCCUGAUUUCACGCUGUCAAGAAAAGCCUCUAGGAAGAGUAGUACUGCCCGUACCGCAAACCGACACAGGUAGAUGAGGAGAGAAUCCUAAGGUGAGCGAGAGAACUCUCGUUAAGGAACUCGGCAAAAUGACCCCGUAACUUCGGGAGAAGGGGUGCUCUAUUAGGGUGCAAGCCCGAGAGAGCCGCAGUGAAUAGGCCCAGGCGACUGUUUAGCAAAAACACAGGUCUCUGCAAAACCGUAAGGUGACGUAUAGGGGCUGACGCCUGCCCGGUGCUGGAAGGUUAAGAGGAGUGCUUAGCUUCGGCGAAGGUACGAAUUGAAGCCCCAGUAAACGGCGGCCGUAACUAUAACGGUCCUAAGGUAGCGAAAUUCCUUGUCGGGUAAGUUCCGACCCGCACGAAAGGCGCAACGAUCUGGGCACUGUCUCAACGAGAGACUCGGUGAAAUUAUAGUACCUGUGAAGAUGCAGGUUACCCGCGACAGGACGGAAAGACCCCGUGGAGCUUUACUGCAACCUGAUAUGGAAUGUUUGUACCGCUUGUACAG
rnacentral:rRNA from 1 species